AACGAACGCUGGCGGCGUGCCUAAUACAUGCAAGUUGAGCGCUGAAGGUUGGUACUUGUACCAACUGGAUGAGCAGCGAACGGGUGAGUAACGCGUGGGGAAUCUGCCUUUGAGCGGGGGACAACAUUUGGAAACGAAUGCUAAUACCGCAUAAAAACUUUAAACACAAGUUUUAAGUUUGAAAGAUGCAAUUGCAUCACUCAAAGAUGAUCCCGCGUUGUAUUAGCUAGUUGGUGAGGUAAAGGCUCACCAAGGCGAUGAUACAUAGCCGACCUGAGAGGGUGAUCGGCCACAUUGGGACUGAGACACGGCCCAAACUCCUACGGGAGGCAGCAGUAGGGAAUCUUCGGCGAUGGACGAAAGUCUGACCGAGCAACGCCGCGUGAGUGAAGAAGGUUUUCGGAUCGUAAAACUCUGUUGGUAGAGAAGAACGUUGGUGAGAGUGGAAAGCUCAUCAAGUGACGGUAACUACCCAGAAAGGGACGGCUAACUACGUG
rnacentral:rRNA from 1 species